rnacentral:pre_miRNA from 1 species
GUUUGUCUUCACACACUUAUACUGAAAGAAAACAACUUGAUAGUUGUUUUCUUUCAGUAUAAGUGUGUGAAAUUACAG